GUGUCAGCCGCCGCGGUAAUACGGAGGGUGCGAGCGUUAUCCGGAAUUACUGGGUUUAAAGGGUGCGUAGGCGGCCAUGUAAGUCAGGAGUGAGAGUUUGCGGCUCAACCGUAAAAUUGCUUUUGAUACUGCAUGGCUGGAAUCAGGAUGAGGUCAGCGGAAUGUGGCAUGUAGCGGUGAAAUGCAUAGAUAUGCCAUAGAACACCAAUUGCGAAGGCAGCUGGCUAGACCUGUAUUGACGCUGAGGCACGAAAGCGUGGGGAGCGAACAGGAUUAGAUACCCUGGUAGUCCACGCCCUAAACGAUGCUUACUCGACGUAUGGCACUAGUUGUUGUGCGUCCAAGGGAAACCGUUAAGUAAGCCACCUGGGGAGUACGACCGCAAGGUUGAA
rnacentral:rRNA from 1 species